UACGAAGGGGGCUAGCGUUGCUCGGAAUCACUGGGCGUAAAGCGCACGUAGGCGGAUCUUUAAGUCGGGGGUGAACUCCUGGAGCUCAACUCCAGAACUGCCUUCGAUACUGAGGACCUUGAGUCCGGGAGAGGUGAGUGGAACUGCGAGUGUAGAGGUGAAAUUCGUAGAUAUUCGCAAGAACACCAGUGGCGAAGGCGGCUCACUGGCCCGGUACUGACGCUGAGGCGCGAAAGCUAGGGGAGCAAACGGG
rnacentral:rRNA from 1 species